rnacentral:rRNA from 1 species
UAGGCAAAUCCGCUGUACAAUCCGAAGACGUGAUGCGGACCGAAUUAAGAGUAGGGAAGUGUGUGAGCCAUGCGUCAAGAAAAGCCGCUAUUGUUUUACUUAAGCCCGUACCGUAAACCGACACAGGUGGAUGAGGAGAGAAUCCUAAGGCCGACGGGAGAAGCAUUGUUAAGGAACUCGGCAAAAUGACUCCGUAACUUCGGGUGAAGGAGUGCCAGCGAGAGCUGGCCGCAGAGAAUAGGCCCAAGCAACUGUUUAGCAAAAACACAGGUCUAUGCAAAACCGUAAGGUGAAGUAUAUGGGCUGACGCCUGCCCGGUGCUGGAAGGUUAAGAGGAGAGGUUAGCGGUAACGCGAAGCUUUGAAUUUAAGCCCCAGUAAACGGCGGCCGUAACAAUAACGGUCCUAAGGUAGCGAAAUUCCUUGUCGGGUAAGUUCCGACCCGCACGAAAGGCGUAAUGAUUUGGGCACUGUCUCAACAAUGCACCCGGUGAAAUUGAAAUACCAGUGAAGAUGCUGGUUACCUGCGCCAGGACGGAAAGACCCCAUGGAGCUUUACUCCAGCUUGAUACUGGGAUUCGGUAUUGCAUGUACAGGAUAGGUGGGAGGCUAGGAAGUGAUAACGCCAGUUGUCACGGAGCCGCUGUUGGGAUACCACCCUUGCAGUAUUGGAUUUCUAACCAGCGACCAUGAACUGGUCGGGGGACAAUGUCAGGUGGGGAGUUUGACUGGGGCGGUCGCCUCCGAAAGGGUAUCGGAGGCGCUCAAAGGUUCCCUCAGAAUGGACGGAAACCAUUCGAAGAGUGCAAAGGCAGAAGGGAGCUUGACUGCGACACCGACGGGUGGAGCAGGUACGAAAGUAGGACUUAGUGAUCCGGUGGUAUAAAGUGGGAUUGCCAUCGCUCAACGGAUAAAAGCUACCCUGGGAUAACAGGCUUAUCACUCCCAAGAGUUCACAUCGACGGAGUGGUUUGGCACCUCGAUGUCGGCUCAUCGCAUCCUGGGGCUGAAGUAGGUCCCAAGGGUUGGGCUGUUCGCCCAUUAAAGCGGUACGCGAGCUGGGUUCAGAACGUCGUGAGACAGUUCGGUCCCUAUCCGGCGUGGGCGUAGGAUAUUUGAGAGGAGCUGUCCUUAGUACGAGAGGACCGGGAUGGACUGGCCGCUGGUGUAUCUGUUGCAUACCAAAUGCAUGGCAGAGUAGCCAAGCCGGGACGGGAUAAACGCUGAAGGCAUCUAAGCGUGAAGCCCCCCUCAAGAUGAGAUAUCCCUACGUAAGUAGUAAGACCCCUUGAAGACGACGAGGUAGAUAGGUCAGAGGUGGAAGUACAGUAAUGUAUGGAGCUGACUGAUACUAAUCGGUCGAGGGCAUGACUAA